rnacentral:sRNA from 1 species
AAGAAAGAAGAAGCAACCCGCUUCUCGCCUCGUUAACGGAACGUUUUCAGGCAAACAUUUCAAACACUAUAUCACGUUCGUCGUGAUUUUGGAUGUGCGGGCCUUGCUUUCUAGCAUGCCCGUUUUUU